UACAGAGGUCUCAAGCGUUGUUCGGAUUCAUUGGGCGUAAAGGGUGCGUAGGCGGCGCGGUAAGUCGGGUGUGAAAUCUCGGGGCUCAACCCCGAGCGGUCGUGAGAAACUGGCAGGCUAGAGUGCGGGAGAGGAGAGUGGAAUUCCUGGUGUAGCGGUGAAAUGCGCAGAUAUCGGGAAGAACACCCGUGGCGAAGGCGGUUCUCUGGGACGGUACUGACGCUGAGACGCGAAAGCGUGGGGAGCGAACAGG
rnacentral:rRNA from 1 species